rnacentral:misc_RNA from 1 species
GCAAACUUGGUCAUUUAGAGGAAGUAAAAGUCGUAACAAGGUUUUCUGUCAUAGGAACUCUCAUACCUAUUGAAGCCUUGGAUAUCAAGUCUACCACAAUAAUGUAGGCAACGCCUUUACUGUGCUUGGAUAUGCUUUUAGAUAACAAGCAGCUGCUCCAGCAGUUCACAGAUCAAACAAAGGUGGUUUUAGGAUCCAUGAUGCCUAAGAUUUAGAUAUGACCGGCCUGCACUCGAAAGAGCUGUAGAUUUUGUGUUCCGUAGGUGAACCUGCGGAAGGAUCAUUACUGAGAACUUGCCCUUCAGGGUAGAUCUCCCCACCCUUUGUUAACAUUCCUUUGUUGCUUUGGCAGGCCAGGCAGUAGUCUACCGGCUCAGGCUGGCUAGUGCCUGCCAGAGGACCCCAAACUCUUAAAUCUAAUGUUGUCUGAGUUACUAUACAAUUAGUUAAAACUUUCAACAACGGAUCUCUUGGUUCUGGCAUCGAUGAAGAACGCAGC